AUUUAAAUAUGUAAAGCCAAACGAGAAGAAAACUAACUCAUUCGUGAAAAAGGUCAACAAUCCACACCCAGGCAAAGGUAUUUCGUGCACGGGAAAGGUGGGGAUACUGCAGGUGAACGCAGUUGAUGAAGAAUUGAUACAUAGACCUGUCGGACGAGUUUAACACAGGUCGGGCCGUUCAUUAUCUGGAGGCAAGUAAAGGCUCUCUGCAUCAGUAACAUCAAAAGCCUUCCAAAAUGGCUUCAUUUCGAGCCCUGUCUCGGGAGGGCCAUGCAGCUAUGAGUAUGAGAGACAGUUCGGACCGCUGGAUUUUGAUUCAGAAGAAUACGUUCACCAAUUGGGUGAACGAACAGCUUAGGGUCUCGGGAAUAGAGACCACCGAAUUCGUCAAAGACUUGGAGCAUGAUUUUCAAACAGGUGUCAGGCUUUGUCAACUUGUGGAAAGCUUACAGGGCAAGAAGAUCGGGCGGAUCAUCAAAAAGCCCAUGAACCACCAUCAGGAACUGGAAAAUGUGACCAUCGCUCUCAACGCCAUUUCUAACGACAACGUCCGAUUGGUGAACAUUGGCCCAGAGGACAUUGUGAAUGCAAACCUGAAGCUUAUUCUGGGUCUGAUAUGGCACCUGAUUCUGCGAUACCAGAUUGGGAAGACCAAGUUCCCCACAAAGAAGCUGAUGCUGGCCUGGCUGCAGGCCGUUAUUCCAGAAUGUGCAGUCACAAACUUUACCACAGACUGGAACAGUGGAAUUGCCCUACAUGCCCUGAUAGACUUCUGCAGACCUGGGCUGUCCCCCAACUGGAGGCAGAUGAGUAGGAGUGAUGGGUUAAACAAUUGUAAGAGUGCUAUGGAGCUGGCCAAAAGGGAGUUUGACAUCCCUCUGGUGGUUCGCCCCGAGGAUCUGUCAAGCCCCGACCUUGACGAGCUGUCUGGCAUGACCUAUCUCUCCUACUUCAUGAAAGUGGAUGUACCCGGAUCUCCGUUCCAAAUCAACAUCGUAGACACACAACAAGAGCUAGAGCAGGUGCUGCAUGACGCGUCGUUUGCUCAGAGCUCCGUCACCCACAGGUCGUUCAGUCAGUGGAGAGAGGAUAUUUAGACCGAAUUGUGUGGAACUUGGAAGGUAGAAUAAAAUGUGGAUCUCGAGGGGAGAGGAGGCGAUGAAAUAAAAUCAAAUGUUGACUUUAAUAAAUUGACCGCAAUAACUUUACUUCACGCAGCAUAAUAUUGAGAUGUUGAGAUUACAAGAGAUAUUGUAUAGAUGAAUUGGUAGGCAGAGAGUAAAUUCUAAGUUUAGUUACUAUUAAAAUCAUGUAUGUGAUGAAUAUUAUUUAGACUUUCUGUUUAAUAAGUGGAUUCUUUAUAUAACAGUUGAACUGACUGAAUCAUACUGAUGCAAGCUAUUGUAAGUUGUGUAUAAGUAUACAGGAGAGAAAAAAAUCAAAGCCAUUAUUAUGCUUAUUCAGCCUUUGUUAGUAUUGUUUCCUUUUUUAAUAAGGUAGUUGUGAAUUUUUCCUUUUCUCAUGUAAUGUGUUGCGAUCACAUAUCAGUCUCAAGGACUCGCUCCUUGAGAAAAAACACAAGGAAGAGGCAUCAACACAGAUAAGAAUACGUCCUGGUUUCCAUACCAACAAAGGUCGUGACCUUUAUAACCAUUCCUUAGUCUAAUAAACAUAUCAUUCUGUCUAGACUUAUAUUUUUUUCCCUUUAUAUACAUGUAUGUAUAUACAUAUACAUCAGAUAUUUGUAUAUUAUGAUAUUGCUAUUUACCAAAAUAUUUUUUCUUGUUAUAGCAUUAGUUCUUCAUACUCAAAUAAAGAACUAAGAUUUU
rnacentral:misc_RNA from 1 species